UUCUUAACACAUGAGUGAACGUGUAGUCUCAUUCUUAACACUUAACUCAUUUCUCGAUAAACAAUAUUCUUUUUCCUAUAACCUAACGCUCUUUCCGUCGCCGCUCCAAACAUUCUCUCCCCAACUUCAGUGAAGCUCAAAUUUCUAUUGGUAUCUUCAAAAGGAUUUCCUCUACGGCUGGAUUUGCAGAUAACAAAGCUUUAGAGGAUGCUAUUGCUACCAUUGACAAAAUUGCAAUGCCAAUAGAUGUUCAAGAUCGUUAGUUUUAUUAUUCAUUUCAAGAUUGGUUAGGGAGGAAGUAGAAUUGGCCCUAAAGAAGCAUUUGAAUAGCAUGCAACAGAGCUCGAAUUCAAGGAGAGAACGACUCGAACUUAAGGCAAUGUUUAGUUGAUGCCGUAACAGGGAAGGUUGUUUGAACAGGACCUUAAUAUUUUGCUAAGGUGAAAAUUGUAGUCGUUGAAGGUGAUUUUAAAGAAGAAAGUGACAUUUUGAUGCCUAAAGAAGUGAUUUUAUAUCUUAAGGACGGGGAUUGUAGAAUAAGAGAAGCAAAGACACAAGAGUAUUGUACAAGAAACACCACCCUCCAAGUCUUUUGGAUGAAAUUGGGAGACAUGUAAAGAUAGGCUAGACGGAUGAAAGUGUGAUGGAGAUGCAUGCACUACUUGUAGUUCCCCAAACCAUUCAAAUUCUCGAAGUCCAUGCACCGAUGAAGAAGGAAGAGAGGAAGAAUAGAAAUUGAUUUUAUCUUAGAUAUGUUUUUUUUUUUGUUUUUUGACGUAGCAUAUAUUUUGGUGAUUGUUUGUUAUAUAACAUUUUUGUUAUUUUAAUAUGUUUGUAAGACUAUAAUUGAAAUUUUCUUUGCUAUUGUUAUAAAUU